UCCUCGGUAGCUCAGCGGCAGAGCAAUCGGCUGUUAACCGAUCGGUCGUAGGUUCGAAUCCUACCCGGGGAGCCA
rnacentral:tRNA from 1 species